UUAGACAAAGCAGUUCUGCAGUUUAUCUAAUUCCAUAUACUAGUAGCUGGCUAUUAGCCAUAAUCGUUAUGAAGAUUUCUCUCGCUUCAAUAAAAUGGCGAUAUGGUCUCUUUGUCCUCUUUGAGGGUACGGAAUCCUUAAGAGAAGUACGUUUGUUAACUUGGUUUAUUGCUAAAAUCAGAAAACGUAAUGGAAUGACUCUGACUCUUAUUUCUUUGUUGAUCAAAACGAGGCCGAGGACUAGAAAACAAGAUUUAUCUAGUUAAUUUUGUGUAGGUAAAAUUCAAUAGUAGUCAAGUUGAAAAAGGUAAGGUUUAAUUGAGGAACGGUAAAAGCGGCCUGCGGAUCUGCGGCAACGUGUCGUCAUUAGGAACUCAUUAUCAAGGCAUUUAGAGCAAGCCAUACUCUCUAAAACUGACCAUAAAUCAUAAUCCAGUUGAUUAAGAUCGGGACUAGAUGACGGCCAGUCUUCAACUCUGAUGAAGUCCGGAACGUUGGCUUCUAACCAAGAUUCAAAUAAUAAGUCACGACUCAAGGUCGGAUCGAGAUUUAUGACCCGGCGCCGAGUCUUGCUGAAGGGGCUAUUCUUGGUUAUUGAACAUGGUGUUUUUAGGGGGCUUAAAUACCUUCUCAAAGAAUGGUAACUUGAUACACUUGUACCAAUGUUUUGAUACCUUUUUCACGUCGUCAGUAGACACAGACAGUAAAUUUAUUACAAACCUCACAGACCA